rnacentral:rRNA from 1 species
CAGCAGCCGCGGUAAAACGAACCGUGCGAACGUUAUUCGGAAUCAUUGGGCUUAAAGCGCGUGUAGGCGGAUGGGAACGUCGGUCGCUGAAAUACCCCGGCUCAACCGGGGAACUGGCAUCGAAACGACCCGUCUCGAGGGGCAUAGGGGGAGCUGGAACUUCCGGUGGAGCGGUGAAAUGCGCUGAGAUCGGAAGGAACGCCCGUGGCGAAAGCGAGCUCCUGGAUGUCUUCUAACGCUGAGACGCGAAAGCUAGGGUAGCGAACGGGAUUAGAUACCCCCGUAGUCCCUGUCUCUUAUA